UGUUUCGUGAGUGUUGGGGCAAAUAAAGGGUACACGGCCACUCUCAUGCUUAGUUUUUGAAGUAUUUUUCAUCUGUUUCGUGAGUGUUGGGGCAAAUAAUGGGUACACGGCCACUCUCAUGCUGAGUUUUUGAAGGCAACACAGAGCAGUUAAAGCGGCAAGGAACAUUGAUAUAGCAGACGCAGUCACUGUUGAGGAUCAGAGCAGCAUCAAUCAAGACGCUACGUCGAGUGUGGAAAGUGAACAACAAUAAAAUAAGCACUGCUGCACACCUGAGACGAAUUCAACCAGCCACAAAAAGGCAGGACAAAGUGAAAUCAGUGAACAACGUUCAAAAGAAGAAUUCUGCAUGCCUUUGCUGGGUCUUUGCAGAUAAUACCACUGAACUAAGGAAU